ensembl:rRNA 5S_rRNA 5S ribosomal RNA
GCUUACGGCCUUACCACCCUGAGCGCGCCCGAUCUUUCUGAUCUCGGAAGCUAAGCAGGGUCGGGUCUGAUUAGUACUUGGAUGGGAGACCGCCUGGGAAUACCAGGUGCUGUAAGCU